UUGUUUCUUCUCUCCUUACGACUCUUCCUUUCCUCCUUUCCUCAGAAGGAUGAGAGUGAUACAAAGGUCGCUUCACUUGCAUUUCUCAAUGUCUACUAUGUGUUGAACUGUAAAGAAGAACAAGCAAGGGCCAUUGAAUGUAGAAGGGGACACAGCUGAAUAAACAGGGAAUUCGAAAUUGUUACAAGUUUCGAAAAGACCUCUCUUGGAAACUGAGAACACUUUGGCAACACUGGGCCUGAUUCCUCUCAUGGCAACAACCAUCAGUUUUGGAAUGAUAGCUACCUGCUUUAAAGAAGAGAGGUAGAUUGUAGCCACUUGUUACUCAAAAUCUAAGAUGUUUGUGCAUCUGGAAUAACUGCCUACCUCACCCGCAAUGGGGCUUCUCAUGUGGCCUUAGGAUGGACUGUGCUAGUGAGAGAUCCUGAAGUUUAUGUUUUAUCAGCUUCACAGUACAUUGUCAGCUUUGCUGAACUUAGGUUUUAGGUUCUAUAUCCCUGGGAAUCUAAAAAACAACCUACAUUCUCCAGUGUGGUGGCCAGCUAUUUUGUACAAGUAUCGAGAAGACAGGGUAGAUGGAAAGGACUCAGAUGGCUGCAGGAGGACACAUCUGUCCGACGAUUUUGUGAUCAGAAAUGGAGCCAACUUCUCAUCCUUUUACUUCACCCCAUAUAGCCGAUGGAUUUGCCCAGUCCUAUCAAUUCAUCUUUGAUAAAGCUACAACCAUCUGCUUGUUUCUGUCACCAGCUUUCUCCAGAACUUCUCUGCCUCUUCCUGGAUUAGUGUAAGAGUUUCCUAACUGAUUUUCCUGCUUUCCGCCUCCUCUUUCCCCAUCCGAUCUGCAGACUACCUCCUUUUUCCCUAUACAACCUGCAAUCGUUCCAAACUAACAUUCUUAAAAUACUACUCUCUCUCCAUUACUAAUCUGUUCAUACCACCACAUGGUUCCUCAUCACCUGCUCUACAGCCUGGCAGUCAAGUGCUCUUGGUUAAGUACACCUAGUGGCUGAUCCGCCUCCAUUCAAGUUUUUAUUAGUGCACACUCUUCACUGUGCCACACUAGUCACACUAUUUUUGAGAUUUGUGUUCCUCUUCAUCCUGUCCUUUGGUUAGCAUACUCUUUUCCCUAAUCUUCCCUUUUAUUAGCCUAAAUCUCAACUUUUCCAUGGUUAUUCCAGUCCACAUUGGUUUCUAAGUUUUCAGAGUGACUUUCCAAAUUUAUGUCUGAACUCCUAUCUCUGGCACUAAGUUAUGGACUGCCUUGUUUGGUGAUUGAACCACUUUACAUCCAAAUAUUGUCCCCUAAAACAAUUUUAUGUGCUGUUAAAGCAAGGAUCAUUUGUGGUUCUUCUUUUGUAACCUCUUGUG